CGCGGUGACGUCAAGCCCAGAUCUGACUCUAUGCAAAGCGCCCCACGACGCGCGUGCAGCUGAGCACAUGGAGGAGAGAGGACGUACACUUAGCAGCCUGGCUAAUGUAGCCCGUGGGGCGCAAAAUAUUGGCAAAUGAAGAACAUUUCAGAUCUGAAAAGUGGACUGACCUGCCUUAGGCUUCCUACAUGGGCAUCCAAGAUGUAGGUGACUUUGUUUCUUCAGUACAACACAAACCACUUAUAAGUCUGUGAUCCACCAUCAAGCAAGAAGAUGAAGACGCCUCACGCGCCUGCUGCUGAGAACGCGCUCAGGAGAGUCCUAACAGUUCGGACACUGUGUGAAUCAGAGUUCUUUGUUUUAGCCAUGAUUCCCAUCUACUUCCAUUAUAAGACUGACAGACUGCAACGGUUUGUGAAAAAUCUUUGUUUGUGUUCUACUGAAGAAACAAAGUCACCUACAUCUUGGAUGCCCUGGAGAAUCCAGUCCUAGUAUCAGUCACCCUGCCAGUGAGGAAUACGGCGAAGAGGCCGUCCUGUGAGAUAAGAGACCUACACCGGACAGCAUGACCUUCAGAGGACUGGACUGAACUUGGACUGUGUUUAGGCAGCAUGAGAGAGAACAACCUCAUGCUGAAGCCAUAAAUCACUGCCAUCAACCUCAUUUAAACCAUAGCGCUGAUGUCACUGGAUAUGUUAAAUAGGGCAGCAGGCCAGGCACACGUGUACCUCUCUGAAGAAGGCCAGUUCAGUGGAAACUAGCAAGCAAACACACCGAAAAGGACACACGCUCCGUCAAUGUCAGCAAAUAUUUGGUCACAACUUUGAAGUGACAGUCGUUUGAAACAGGGAUGACGUUGUCUCUGUUAGAGCAGGUGAAUGUGCAAGUUUGCUGUUUAAAAUCAGUGUGAUUGAUUCAUUGCCAUGUAUUCUGAGCUUUUUACUAGUAAUGAUGUACAAGUCUUAGCUUUCGUAAGACCAACAUGGCCAGGUAUUUUUAGAAACAGGCUGUGAUGUAACGUGACCUGUCACCUGCGAGACCAGCUGUGCUGAUGGCUCAGAGAAAUGGACUAAUGAGAGUCCUGAAGAGAAUGUGAUGCAUUGAAUAGUGGAGUUAUAUAAAGAUGGUUUACCACUUAAAGGGAUACUCCACCCCAAAAUGAAACUUUUAUCAUUAAUCACUUACCACCAUGUCGUUCCAACCCGGUAAAAGAUUUGUCUUCGGAACACAAUUUAAGAUAUUUUGGAUGAAAACCUGGAGGCUUGUGACUGUCACAUAGACUGACAAGUAAACUAAACUGCCAAGGUCCAGAAAAGUAUGUAAAGCAUCGUCAGAAUAGUCCAUCUGCCUUCAGUGGUUCAACCGUAACUUUAUGAAGCGACAAGAAUACUUUUUGUAUGAGAAGAAAACAAAAAUAAUGACUUUAUUCUACAAUUUUCCUCUGUCUCUCCCCAUAUCAAUGUAGUGCCAUUUUGGAAAACACCUGCUGAACGGAAGAUAGAUUGCAAUCUACCAAACAGCUCCAUAUAACACGUAUACUCUGUUAUACAGCUCCAUAUAAUACAUAAAUAUAAUAAAUAAUUGUGAAUAACCUUUAAA